GUUGGAUCCAGCCAUCGCGUCGCCGUCAACGCGACUUCCGAUGCUGAACUACAAAAUAUGGUGCAAAUUGGGUCGAAAUGCCAUUGAAAUUCAACAUAAAAGAGGAUUCUUUUGUCCUGUUACCUAAAUUUUAAGUGGAUACAGUAUUACAUUCGCGUCACACACUUCUCAUCGCCUUUGAAUUUCCAUUAAGAUAUGGAUCAUCAAAUUUUAUUCAAGUUAAUAUCAAUAGUAUACGUUUUCACUUGAAAAUUAUGAACUUCCCUGAUGUUUGAAUCAACAAACACAAAUCGAUUACAGAAUUGUUAAGAAUUGAAAAUUGUUACUAAUUAUGAACAGAAUAUCUUCUUGAAAUACCAAUUGUACGACAGCGAUGUCAUCAAAAGCGAAGAUAUAAAUGGGAAUGGAGAAAUCAAAAGGCACAAUACCUGCUGUGUUUGAUCUUCUCUGUCGGAGGUCUGGGUGUUGCGGUCGGGGACGGUGAUUGAAACUGCCAAGAAACCAAGCUGCUAUGGGAUAUACCACUAUCGGACAGACAGUGAAGAUCUCGCUCUUGUUCGGCAGCGAUUUCCCUCUCGAGCUGCACGAGUCCUGGCGGUUCGACCGAAUACCUUGACGCCAAUCGUGCCACUUCCAACAGACACAACACCACGUUCCGUGGUUGUCCGUGUAGGACUGUAAAAUUAAAAAUAUUAAAGAAAAUGAAAAAUUUGUCGUAUGUAUAUGUAGCAGAAAUACAGAUAAUUUGAAGAAGAUCAAUACGUAUGUAUUUCGCUAGAUUCUAGGAAUUUUUUAUUGCGUUACAUGUUUAUCUAGUUGCAGAGAAAACGCUGGAAAUGGUCGUUCCAUAAUUACGUACGUGCAAGUUUACAUUAAUUUACAAUUUACCGUAGAGUGGUUUAUACAGUGGCCGACUACAUAUUUAUUCAUAAAUAAUGAAAAAAAUAAUUGGAGCAAAAAAAUCGUUAGAAUUCAGACAAGGCCAAGUGAAACAUACGUUUAAAGGAUUUGCAUUUUAAUGAGAACUUUCUAUCUUGAAUUUAUACAAUAUAUGAAAAGAUUUUAUACGUCCAUAAUUUAUCAGGUGCUUCGAAGCUUUCCGAUAUUUUAGUUUCUCCGAUUGCUAUAUCGGGCUACGUGAUACAUCGCAGUCCACAUGGUGAAAAUUACAAGACAACCUAGAAACCAGUCUCUUUACGACCGUCUCAUCCACGCUACCAAAAAAAAAAAGAAAAAUGUAGAUUCUAUUUACAGAACGUAAGCGAUGACACCCUCGACCUUCUUCAACUACCAUUGUAAUUGACCAAUUUAGCCUACAUUUCGUGGUACAUCUCAUUUAUUCAUUAAAAUAGAUCGUCUUAACCAAACGAAAUGGUCAUCGUAUUAUUCGCAAUAAAAUUGUAGCUACUUCUUAAUUCAGAAAAAAAUAUUGCAUCUUGGAUCAAACUAAAAAAAAAUCCUCAUGUACUAAGACGACUAUUCUCAACGGAAGAACAUACAAAAUUUAUCCUUGUUUGGAUAAUAGAUGAGCUUUUUAAUCUACCCCAAUUGCUUCUUCGAGCUAUUCGUUUCUCCUAUGGUCGGCGGAUUCGUAAAGAGACAAAAGCUUUGUUCCACGUUAAAUCUACGUGCCUGAUGACUUUACUUUUGUAGCACGAGAACGAGCAUGACACGAAAAUCCAGAUUCACAGGUUUCCGUUCCAACGAAAAAGAAUUUCAAAUGGGACGAGCACCGUGAAACGAAACAAAAGGAAAAAGGAAAAGUUCUGCCAUUAUAUUUCGUUCCACUGUAUCGAGCUUCGAACGCCAGCAGUAUUUCAACGUCUACAUCGGUGCUAUCCACGUUGAAUUUAAACAGUCUGUGGCACUCUAUUUGAGAUAUUGUAGCAGAAGCAAAGCAGAGUGACGUGUUAUAUUCGAUGAAAGUGAUAUAUCUGAGAAACACGUGUUAUUAAUAGAAACUAUAUCAGAGCUAUGUGUAACGAUCGUAAAAGGAAGACGAAGUACAAAGGAGGAUAGAGGUCAGUAACGGCAAAAGUUCGAAGUUACUGAAAGGCAAAGUUAGAGGAAAGUAAACUUCGGAAUUUAUUCUUUAUGGACCCAUUGUUCUUUCUCGGUUAUCGUACUUCAAGAUUCCAGUAUACGUACGUAUGUAUACGAUACUAAAAAUAAACAGCGCCAUUUUGCGCGACAACCAUCCCCAUAACACGUGACCCAGAUCACUUUUUCGCAACUCUGAAGAAGCUUCUUCGCUUCCGAGAUUACAUCAGCUACGAGCGCUCAUUGUUUUUCGUCGUUUCAUUGAAAGUCAGUCGGCUACGAGGGAAAAACCACUCUUUUUCAUCGUUACCACCGCGAGACGCGGUUAAAUCGCGGCGAUUAUUCUUCCUUUCGUGGUAGCUUUGCAUUUG